rnacentral:rRNA from 1 species
UACGUAGGGGGCUAGCGUUGUCCGGAAUCAUUGGCGUAAAGCGCGUGUAGGCGGUUCGGUAAGUCCGCUGUGAAAGUCGGGGGCUCAACCCUCGAAUGCCGGUGGAUACUGUCGGACUAGAGUACGGAAGAGGCGAGUGGAAUUCCUGGUGUAGCGGUGAAAUGCGCAGGAUAAUCAGGAGGAACACCAAUUGCGAAGGCAGCUCGCUGGGA